UACGUAGGUGGCAAGCGUUGUCCGGAUUUACUGGGCGUAAAGAGCGCGCAGGCGGUCAGAUAAGUCGAAUGUGAAAGCCCCCCGGCUCAACUGGGGAGGGUCAUUCGAUACUGUUCGACUCGAAGGCAGGAGAGGGAAGUGGAAUUCCCGGUGUAGUGGUGAAAUGCGUAGAGAUCCGGAGGAACCCCAGAGGCGAAGGCGGCGCCCUGGCUCGCAACUGACGCUCAGACACGACAGCAUGGGGAGCGAACGGG
rnacentral:rRNA from 1 species